UACGUAGGUGGCAAGCGUUGUCCGGAUUUAUUGGGUUUAAAGGGUGCGUAGGCGGUCCUAUAAGUCAGUGGUGAAAUACUCUAGCUUAACUAGAGGGGUGCCAUUGAUACUGUUGGACUUGAGUAGAGUUGAAGUGGGCGGAAUUGACGGUGUAGCGGUGAAAUGCUUAGAUAUCGUCAAGAACACCGAUAGUGAAGACAGCUCACUAAGCUCAAACUGACGCUGAGGCACGAAAGUGUGGGGAGCAAACAGG
rnacentral:rRNA from 1 species